rnacentral:rRNA from 1 species
CGCGUGGACUCGCCCCAAAUUCAUUGGCAGCGGUCCUUGCCUCCUCUCGCGCAGCACAUUGCGCUUCUCGAGGGGCUACGGCUCGCGUCCAACAAGCACAUUUACCGUCUUGACCUCGGAUCA